rnacentral:rRNA from 1 species
CCUACGGGUGGCAGCAGUGAGGAAUAUUGGUCAAUGGGCGAGAGCCUGAACCAGCCAAGUCGCGUGAGGGAAGACGGUCCUACGGAUUGUAAACCUCUUUUGUCAGGGAGCAAGGCGCGCCACGCGUGUUUCGGCGCGAGUACCUUACGAAAAAGCAUCGGCUAACUCCGUGCCAGCAGCCGCGGUAAUACGGAGGAUGCGAGCGUUAUCCGGAUUUAUUGGGUUUAAAGGGUGCGCAGGCGGAAGCGGCAAGUCAGCGGCAAAAUUGCGGGGCUCAACCUCGCCGAGCCGUUGAAACUGCUCUGCGAGAGUGGGCGAGAAGUAGGCGGAAUGCGUGGUGUAGCGGUGAAAUGCAUAGAUAUCACGCAGAACUCCGAUUGCGAAGGCAGCAUACCGGCGCCCAACUGACGCUCAUGCACGAAAGCGUGGGUAUCGAACAGGAUUAGAUACCCUUGUAGUC